rnacentral:rRNA from 1 species
GUGGGGAAUUUUGGACAAUGGGCGAAAGCCUGAUCCAGCAAUGCCGCGUGUGUGAAGAAGGCCUUCGGGUUGUAAAGCACUUUUGGCAGGGAAGAAACAGUGCGUGCUAAUACCAUGCGCGAAUGACGGUACCGGCAGAAUAAGCACCGGCUAACUACGUGCCAGCAGCCGCGGUAAUACGGAGGGUGCAAGCGUUAAUCGGAAUUACUGGGCGUAAAGCGUGCGCAGGCGGCUUUGUAAGACGGAUGGGAAAGCCCCGGGCUAGACCUGGGGAGUGCAUUCGUGACUGAGAGGAUAGAGUGUGUCAGAGGGAGGUGGAAUUCCGCGUGUAGCAGUGAAAUGCGUAGAGAUGCGGAGGAACACCGAUGGCGAAGGCAGCCUCCUGGGAUAACACUGACGCUCAGGCACGAAAGCGUGGGGAGCAAACAGGAUUAGAAACCCCAGUAGUCC